rnacentral:rRNA from 1 species
UACGUAGGGGGCAAGCGUUGUCCGGAAUUAUUGGGCGUAAAGAGCGUGUAGGCGGCCAGGUAGGUCUGGUGUGAAAACUCGAGGCUUAACCUCGAGAUGUCAUCGGAAACCAUCUGGCUAGAGUCCGGAAGAGGAGAGUGGAAUUCCUAGUGUAGCGGUGAAAUGCGCAGAUAUCAGGAAGAACACCAAUGGCGAAAGCAGCUCUCUGGGACGGUACUGACGCUGAGACGCGAAAGCGUGGGGAGCGAACAGG